UGGCUCAGGAUGAACGCUGGCGGCAGGCCUAACACAUGCAAGUCGAGCGGUAACGAGAAGAGUAGCUUGCUACUUUUGCUGAACGAGCGGCGGACGGGUGAGUAAUGCUUGGGAACAUGCCUUGAGGUGGGGGACAACAGUUGGAAACGACUGCUAAUACCGCAUAAUGUCUACGGACCAAAGGGGGCUUCGGCUCUCGCCUUUAGAUUGGCCCAAGUGGGAUUAGCUAGUUGGUGAGGUAAUGGCUCACCAAGGCGACGAUCCCUAGCUGGUUUGAGAGGAUGAUCAGCCACACUGGGACUGAGACACGGCCCAGACUCCUACGGGAGGCAGCAGUGGGGAAUAUUGCACAAUGGGCGCAAGCCUGAUGCAGCCAUGCCGCGUGUGUGAAGAAGGCCUUCGGGUUGUAAAGCACUUUCAGUCAGGAGGAAAGGUUAGUAGUUAAUACCUGCUAGCUGUGACGUUACUGACAG
rnacentral:rRNA from 1 species